rnacentral:lncRNA from 1 species
GCGCUGUGGAUGAAGGAAGUGAGAUGUGAACAUAUCACUGAUUUUCUAUUGUCUUUCAGGGCUUUUGACAACAGGACGUGAGGAGGCCUCGGCCUGAGGGAGAUGUACACUCAAUUACUCAAUACUCAGAUUACUCCAAAGCUGGAAGGCCCACUCAUCAGGAAAGCUUCUGCCUGUGUAUUCAAAUGCCUUUCAAUCCUUUGUAGCCCACUGAGAGAAGGGAAAAAAACUCAAUGCUGGUGCCAGGGACAAGAAUCUUGAGGUAGCAGAUUAACUGGAUUUGGACGGAGAUGACUGCAGGACAUAUGCGCGCUGACUGAGGAGUGGACCGAUGCUGGCGUAUCAUUUGCGUAACAUUUGGUACUUAAUGUUCUGAUGUUUUUGACGUCUUUUGUGUUUUGUUUUUUUUUUACUUUAUUGCAAAUGAAUACUCCAUAAGGAAACACAUAAGGAAUCAUCUAGUAAGUUUAAAAAAAAGAAGCAUUUAGGUGCUCUUAUCUGGGGAACUGUAAACAUGCAGUUUCUUAGGCUGUUAAGUCUGAUUAACUUAUCCUGUGCAACAGAGGAAACUCUUGCUCUUCCUUUCCUGGGGCAAAACCUGAAAAGAGCCAGUUCCAUCAUAAUGUUUUUGAUGGAUUUUUGUGACUAUAGCUAAAGAUACUUUCAAAGUUCUUGACAUUUUUCAGAUUGAUUGAACUUAAUAUUUUAAAGUAAUUAAAGUAAGCUGUCAUCUAUGGAAGAGGUGCC